rnacentral:misc_RNA from 1 species
GAUGAAGAACGCAGCGAAAUGCGAUAAGUAAUGUGAAUUGCAGAAUCCAGUGAAUCAUCGAAUCUUUGAACGCACAUUGCGCCCGCCAGCAUUCUGGCGGGCAUGCCUGUUCGAGCGUCAUUUCAACCCUCGACCUCCCUUUGGGGAAGUCGGCGUUGGGGACCGGCAGCACACCGCCGGCCCUGAAAUGGAGUGGCGGCCCGUCCGCGGCGACCUCUGCGUAGUAAACCAACUCGCACCGGAACCCCGACGUGGCCACGCCGUAAAACACCCAACUUCUGAACGUUGACCUCGAAUCAGGUAGGACUACCCGCUGAACUUAAGCAUAUCAAUAAGCGGAGG